GAUGAACGCUGGCGGCGUGCCUAAUACAUGCAAGUCGAGCGAACGGACGAGGCGCUUGCUUCUCUGACGUUAGCCGCGGACGGGUGAGUAACACGUGGAUAACCUACCUAUAAGACUGGGAUAACUUCGGGACACCGGCUCUAACACCGUAUAAUAUUUUGAACCGCAUGGUUCAUAAGUGAAAUACGGCCUUUCUGUCACUUAUCGAUGGAUCCGCGCUUCAUUAGUUAGUUGGUACGGUAACGGCUUACCAAGGCUAGGAGGCCUAGCCGACCUGAGGGGGUGAUCGGCCACCCUGGAGCUGGGACACCGUCCAGAGUCCUACGGGAGGCAGCAGUAGGGAAUCUUCCGCAAUAGGCGAAAGCCUGACGGAGCGACGCCGCGUGAGUGAUGAAGGUCUUCGGAUCGUAAAGCUCUGUUAUUAGGGAAGAACAGAUGUGUAAGUAACUGUGCACAUCUUGACGGUACCUAAUCAGAAAGCCACGGCUAACUACGUG
rnacentral:rRNA from 1 species